AACGAACGCUGGCGGCGCGCCUAACACAUGCAAGUCGAGCGCUUCACCUUCGGGUGGGGAGCGGCGCACGGGUGAGUAACGCGUGGGAAUCUACCCUGGGGUUCGGGACAACGGCGGGAAACUGCCGCUAACACCGGAUACGGCCUUUUGGCGAAAGUUUACGCCCUGGGAUGAGCCCGCGUCCGAUUAGCUUGUUGGUGAGGUAACGGCUCACCAAGGCUUCGAUCGGUAGCCGGUCUGAGAGGAUGAUCGGCCACACUGGGACUGAGACACGGCCCAGACUCCUACGGGUGGCAG
rnacentral:rRNA from 1 species